rnacentral:rRNA from 1 species
AGUGAACGCUGGCGGUAGGCCUAACACAUGCAAGUCGAACGGCAGCACAGUAAGAGCUUGCUCUUACGGGUGGCGAGUGGCGGACGGGUGAGGAAUACAUCGGAAUCUACUUUUUCGUGGGGGAUAACGUAGGGAAACUUACGCUAAUACCGCUUACGACCUACGGGUGAAAGCAGGGGAUCUUCGGACCUUGCGCGAUUGAAUGAGCCGAUGUCGGAUUAGCUAGUUGGGGGGGUAAAGGCCCACCAAGGCGACGAUCCGUAGCUGGUCUGAGAGGAUGAUCGGCCACACUGGAACUGAGACACGGUCCAGACUCCUACGGGAGGCAGCAGUGGGGAAUAUUGGACAAUGGGCGCAAGCCUGAUCCAGCCAUACCGCGUGGGUGAAGAAGGCCUUCGGGUUGUAAAGCCCUUUUGUUGGGAAAGAAAAGCAGCAGGUUAAUACCCCGCUGUUCUGACGGUACCCAAAGAAUAAGCACCGGCUAACUUCGUG